rnacentral:lncRNA from 1 species
GCGAACGGUCCGGUGCACAGCCGGGCGGAGCAGCGCCGCCGCCGUCGGGCGCGCAGCUCUGCAGCGCAGCGAACGCUUUGGCGCCCGCAGCCCCGGGAGCCCAGCGGCCCCGCAUUGUCCCUGGCCCUGUGACUGAGAUCCGGGAUGAGCGUCGCGGGGCUCCUGGGGCCCAGGGACCACAGUGUGAUGGUGGCUGGUGAUUUCUGAGUGCUCGUGUGCCUGGCUUGUCUCGGAGGUGCUGGAGCUUGUCUCCCUCGGUGCUAUUAUAUCAUAUUGAUGGCUGUUUUCCAAAUGUUGACAUUAUCAGAAGCCUGACCUCCACGUGGAAAAGAAGGGCCUGUUUUAAGAGGCCUCACCAAACAGCUGGCUGCAAAGGGCUGCUCUUUGAGACCAGGUUGUCUGCAGAGUCCCGAGCUGUCGGGGUUGGCCGGCUGCCUUUCUUCUCUGGCGGUGUGUGUGUGUUCUCCGUGUUUCCAGGGUG